rnacentral:rRNA from 1 species
ACAUGCCUACAACAUAGCGUUAAUGCACUGAAUCCCAUUAGAACUCCGUAGUUAACUACACUCGGACUAGAGUAGUAUUGGGAUGGGUGAUUGUUCAGGAAGUCCUCGUGUUUUACAUGCC